GGGGGUUUAGCUCAGUUGGGAGAGCACCUGCCUUGCACGCAGGGGGUCAAGGGUUCAAGUCCCUUAACCUCCA
rnacentral:tRNA from 1 species